UGGGGAAUAUUGCACAAUGGGCGGAAGCCUGAUGCAGCGACGCCGCGUGAGGGAUGACGGCCUUCGGGUUGUAAACCUCUUUCGACAGGGACGAAGCGCGAGUGACGGUACCUGGAGAAGAAGCACCGGCCAACUACGUGCCAGCAGCCGCGGUAAGACGUAGGGUGCGAGCGUUGUCCGGAUUUAUUGGGCGUAAAGAGCUCGUAGGCGGCUCGUCGCGUCGACCGUGAAAACCCACAGCUUAACUGUGGGCUUGCGGUUGAUACGGGCGGGCUAGAGUUCGGUAGGGGAGACUGGAAUUCCUGGUGUAGCGGUGAAAUGCGCAGAUAUCAGGAGGAACACCGGUGGCGAAGGCGGGUCUCUGGGCCGAGUACUGACGCUGAGGAGCGAAAGCGUGGGGAGCGAACAGGAUUAGAUACCCUGGUAGUCCACGCUGUAAACGUUGGGCGCUAGGUGUGGGGGGCCUCGUCCGGUUCUCUGUGCCGCAGCUAACGCAUUAAG
rnacentral:rRNA from 1 species